rnacentral:rRNA from 1 species
CGCGGCCUAUCAGCUUGUUGGUGGGGUAACGGCCUACCAAGGCGACGACGGGUAGCCGGCCUGAGAGGGCGACCGGCCACACUGGGACUGAGACACGGCCCAGACUCCUACGGGAGGCAGCAGUGGGGAAUAUUGCACAAUGGGCGAAAGCCUGAUGCAGCGACGCCGCGUGAGGGAUGACGGCCUUCGGGUUGUAAACCUCUCUCAGCAGGGACGAAGCGAAAGUGACGGUACCUGCAGAAGAAGCACCGGCCAACUACGUGCCAGCAGCCGCGGUAAUACGUAGGGUGCAAGCGUUGUCCGGAAUUAUUGGGCGUAAAGAGCUCGUAGGCGGUCUGUCGCGUCGGCUGUGAAAACCUGGGGCUCAACCCCGGGCCUGCAGCCGAUACGGGCAGACUAGAAUUCGGUAGGGGAGACUGGAAUUCCUGGUGUAGCGGUGAAAUGCGCAGAUAUCAGGAGGAACACCGGUGGCGAAGGCGGGUCUCUGGGCCGAUAUUGACGCUGAGGAGCGAAAGCGUGGGGAGCGAACAGGAUUAGAUACCCUGGUAGUCCACGCCGUAAACGUUGGGCGCUAGGUGUGGGCCACAUUCCACGUGGUCUGUGCCGCAGCUAACGCAUUAAGCGCCCCGC